CCUACGGGAGGCAGCAGUGGGGAAUAUUGGACAAUGGGCGAAAGCCUGAUCCAGCCAUGCCGCGUGUGUGAAGAAGGCCUUCGGGUUGUAAAGCACUUUCAGUGGGGAAGAAAGCCUUGGGGCUAAUACCCUCGAGGAAGGACAUCACCCACAGAAGAAGCACCGGCUAACUCCGUGCCAGCAGCCGCGGUAAUACGGAGGCUGCGAGCGUUAAUCGGAAUUACUGGGCGUAAAGCGCGCGUAGGCGGUCUGAUAAGCCGGUUGUGAAAGCCCCGGGCUCAACCUGGGAACGGCAUCCGGAACUGUCAGGCUAGAGUGCAGGAGAGGAAGGUAGAAUUCCCGGUGUAGCGGUGAAAUGCGUAGAGAUCGGGAGGAAUACCAGUGGCGAAGGCGGCCUUCUGGACUGACACUGACGCUGAGGUGCGAAAGCGUGGGUAGCAAACAGGAUUAGAUACCCCAGUAGU
rnacentral:rRNA from 1 species